rnacentral:rRNA from 1 species
UGAAACCAGGAUUAGAUACCCUGUUACUUAUAAUUAAAAAUUUUUGGAAUAGUAGUAAUAAUGAAAUUUAACGGAUUUGGCGGCAAGAUAGCCAUUUAGAGGAACCUGCCCUAUAAACGAUGAUCCACGAUUUACUAUACUUUUAUUAGUAACACAGUUUGUAUACCGCUGUUGUCAGUCAGUUUCUUUAGAAAACUUUCAUACAUGAAAUAAUCAUAGACUUCAAGUAAAGGUGCAGCUUAUAUAAAAGAGAGAGGUGGGUUACAUUUAAUCGAAUAAUACGGAUAAAGUUUUUGAAAUAUCUUUUGAAGGUGGAUUUAAUUGUAAAGUUUAAAAAAACUUGAUGUGAGCUCUGUCUUGUGUACACACCGCCCGUCGCUCGCGGGAAAA